AAUUGAGUUUAAAAAGUUGAGUCCAAUAAGAGAGAAUAAAUAGACAAAUUACAGGAUGAACAAGUCCUGACUCCCAAUAAAAAAAAUUCGUGUUUAACAACCCCAAUUCGUAGAUAUAUAAGGAGUUGAGUUCAAGUUUUAUCAACAGUCACGCUCACAACUGUACCAGACCCUUCGAGAAUCAAAGCCUCCCCUGUAAACCCUAUAUCGAACCCUCAGUCUUUUCUCCGGAGAUUUGAACCUAGAAGAAGAAAAUCGAAACAGUGAUGGGAAUUAUAAAAAGCAGUUUCUCAUUCAUAGUCGGAACAGUGUGUGGAAUAUACAUAGCUCAGAACUACAACGUGCCCAACAUGCAGAAGCUUGCCAAAACUUGGAUCUUUACGGCCAAGAACGUCGAAGAGAAGUACCGAAAGCCGAAGAAGAACGACGAUGUUUAAUCUACUCAAAAACAGGUUUCUUAUUUGACCCAUAAUUUUAAUUUAAAUAUUUUUUUAUAAUAAUUUUCCUUGUUGGGUUUUACAAAAUUGAGGGCUUUGUAUCGGAAAUCAAAGGAAUUCAAUUGUAUUUGGUAGUAGGAGAUUUCAGUAGAUGCGGAAUUUUGACAUUAGCAAGCGAUCUCUCUCCUUCCCACAUAAUAUGUAUCAUGUACCUAUUUAAAGUACAUAUGUAUAUGUUCGUUUACUGUUUAUGAAUUAUAUGGUGAAGAGGUCUGCAGCUUAUAAUUUAAUUGGAAAUGAUACAAAUUCAUGGCUCAAUUUGGAUACUAUGUGUUCAACUCAACAAUUCUGAAUGAUUCAAGCACGUGAAAUUGCUUUAUGGAUCACUUGCAAUUUAUAAUUAACAAAUGUUUUUUGCUAAUUGAGACCCAGAAUUACUAUUGUGUUUGUGGCCUAUGCAUAUUAACACAUUAGUUAUACUAUUUAGUUGGUAUCUUAAAUAUCCUUUUCGUUGCAUUUGGGAGCACUGAAUUGGCGCAUUGGAUUUGGAGUUGGCUCCACUUCCAAAAUCCAAGGUGUCUAUUCCGUGCUCCCAAACAUAAAAUUUUGUGAUUACUCCUUUUCUUCCUCAUUAUUUUCAUUCACUUGACCAACGCUCUUUGCUGGUGGUUUUCUUAGAUUUUCAAAAUUAUCUCAACCUGGGGUUCUAUAUUUUUUUGUCUGACUCCAUUUAUUUAUUUUAUUAUUUUUUUUCUGCUUCAAAGUUGUUGAUUCUUGAAAUAGUUUGUAACUUGGGGAUCAAAAGGAGAAUGAGGCCCAUGUCAAAUUGCCAAAUCAUACGAGAAUUUUUUAUAGAUAUGACAUGAUCCAAUUAUCAGAAGUGCACUCUAUUAAUAAGGUAUAUAGCUCUAAAUUGGAUUUCCUCAUUCUCUAUUAUAUUCUUUUUUAUUCGUUAUGUGUUAUGGUCCGAGUUAUUUUAAAGACAAUUCCGCUUCUUCUGCUUUGAAACUUCCAUGUGAUUCAGCCAUCACAACCGAAUAAAGUUACAUUGUAUUCAUGUUUCAACUUGGUUUUGAUAUCAUUCAAUAUCUAUUCGGGUUUUGAUAUGUAAUAAUAGCAAGUUGAAAUAUCUAUUCAGUAGCUGCGAUUGAUCCCCCACCACUAUCCCCAGGUUGGACCAGGGUUUAGUGGCUGGGUGGAAGUGUAUAUAGGGGCAACUGAAGGAAAUUUUAGAGUUCGUAGGGUUCCAGGCAAGGAGACGCGUCACCUUUUAUUGCCAUUUGAGGGGUCUUAGCUUCAUUUGAGGGGACCUAAGGAUAGAGAUGUAUAAGGGGAGAUAUCCUAGAUGGAACAGAGACUACCUCUUUCAAGGACGCAAACUCAUUCUCACUAACAGCUCUUUGGGUAGUCUUUUUGCUUCUUAUUUUUAGACAAUUAUUACGUACUUCUUUUGCUAGCAGGUUAUGAAAAUUGCAAUGAAAUGUAUGAAGUUUGGUGGUUAAUGAGUUGGUUAACUGAUACAUUGUGGAA